rnacentral:pre_miRNA from 1 species
CCCCCACCCAUGUGUAUAGGACCCCAAAGGAUCACUAUUAAAGUUGGUACGGAUCUCUAAAAAAGUUAUCACAUGGGUGUGAGACUUGACUUUUAUAUAGAUCCGUGCCAAAUUUAAUGGUAAUCAUUUGGGAUCCUACACACAUGGGUAGGGG